rnacentral:rRNA from 1 species
UACGUAUGGAGCAAGCGUUAUCCGGAUUUACUGGGUGUAAAGGGAGCGCAGGCGGCUUUGCAAGUCUGAUGUGAAAGGCCGGGGCUCAACCCCGGGACUGCAUUGGAAACUGUAAAGCUAGAGUGCCGGAGAGGUAAGCGGAACUCCAUGUGUAGCGGUGAAAUGCGUAGAUAUAUGGAAGAACACCAGUGGCGAAAGCGGCUCUCUGGUCUGUAACUGACGCUGAGGUUCGAAAGCGUGGGUAGCAAACAGG